rnacentral:pre_miRNA from 1 species
UUUAAGUGGAACUAUGAGUUUUUUUUGUCUAACGUUUGUUUGUCCAUCUCAUUCAAAAAUAUUUUUAUGAUUAGUAUUUUUAUUGUUAUUAGAUAUGAUAAAACAUAAAUAGUGGAGUACUUUAUGUGUGGUUUUUUAAAAUUCUUUUAUAAAUUUUUAAAUAAAACGGAUGAUUAAAUGUAAGACACGGAAAUCCACAACUAUACUUGAA